rnacentral:rRNA from 1 species
GCAGCUUGCUGCUUUGCUGACGAGUGGCGGACGGGUGAGUAAUGUCUGGGAAACUGCCUGAUGGAGGGGGAUAACUACUGGAAACGGUGGCUAAUACCGCAUAACGUCGCAAGACCAAAGAGGGGGACCUUCGGGCCUCUUGCCAUCAGAUGUGCCCAGAUGGGAUUAGCUUGUUGGUGAGGUAACGGCUCACCAAGGCGACGAUCCCUAGCUGGUCUGAGAGGAUGACCAGCCACACUGGAACUGAGACACGGUCCAGACUCCUACGGGAGGCAGCAGUGGGGAAUAUUGCACAAUGGGCGCAAGCCUGAUGCAGCCAUGCCGCGUGUAUGAAGAAGGCCUUCGGGUUGUAAAGUACUUUCAGCGGGGAGGAAGGUGUUGUGGUUAAUAACCGCAGCAAUUGACGUUACCCGCAGAAGAAGCACCGGCUAACUCCGUGCCAGCAGCCGCGGUAAUACGGAGGGUGCAAGCGUUAAUCGGAAUUACUGGGCGUAAAGCGCACGCAGGCGGUCUGUCAAGUCGGAUGUGAAAUCCCCGGGCUCAACCUGGGAACUGCAUUCGAAACUGGCAGGC